AUUGAACGCUGGCGGCAUGCCUUACACAUGCAAGUCGAACGGCAGCACGGGAGCAAUCCUGGUGGCGAGUGGCGAACGGGUGAGUAAUAUAUCGGAACGUGCCCAGUCGUGGGGGAUAACGUAGCGAAAGCUACGCUAAUACCGCAUACGAUCUACGGAUGAAAGCGGGGGAUCGCAAGACCUCGCGCGAUUGGAGCGGCCGAUAUCAGAUUAGCUAGUUGGUGGGGUAAAAGCUCACCAAGGCGACGAUCUGUAGCUGGUCUGAGAGGACGACCAGCCACACUGGAACUGAGACACGGUCCAGACUCCUACGGGAGGCAGCAGUGGGGAAUUUUGGACAAUGGGCGCAAGCCUGAUCCAGCAAUGCCGCGUGCAGGAUGAAGGCCUUCGGUUGUAACUAGCUUUGUACGGUAACGAAACGGUGAGCUCUAAUAAAGACUUGCUAAUGACGGUACCGUAACGAAUAAGACACCGGCUAACUACGUG
rnacentral:rRNA from 1 species